rnacentral:rRNA from 1 species
AAAUUGAAGAGUUUGAUCAUGGCUCAGAUUGAACGCUGGCGGCAGGCCUAACACAUGCAAGUCGAACGGUAGCAGGAAGAAGCUUGCUUCUUUGCUGACGAGUGGCGGACGGGUGAGUAAUGUCUGGGAAACUGCCUGAUGGAGGGGGAUAACUACUGGAAACGGUAGCUAAUACCGCAUAACGUCGCAAGACCAAAGAGGGGGACCUUCGGGCCUCUUGCCAUCGGAUGUGCCCAGAUGGGAUUAGCUAGUAGGUGGGGUAACGGCUCACC